CGGACACUGGGUUGUUUGUUGGUUAGGCGGGAAAUCCCUUGAGCCUAAUUAAGAAUACAGGGGUCUGAUGAAUGUUUUGUGUGCAUGACCGCUACGGCGGUAAGCCUAACGAAUAUUACGACGACACCCACUUGAACCUUGCUGGUUCAAGGUCAAUGCCUCACUAACGGCAAUUUGGUUUCGCU
rnacentral:other from 1 species